rnacentral:lncRNA from 1 species
CUGGAAUGAAUGAGUGUUUCUAAGCAUAUUCAAGAAGUGAUACAAGAUUCAAGCAAUGGUUUACACAAAUUAAAAAAGUUCCUUUGAAAAUAUUAUUUUCCAUUUGUAUGUUUUUCAGACUACACAAACAAACACUCAAACACAGAGUUGUUCUAGUGGGCGGGGGGCCAGAGAGAGAAAGAACGAAAUCGAGAGAGAGAAUUUACACUUCUGAGUUGAUUUUCAAACCUCAACUUGAAUACACUUUGAAAAGUUAGAUACAAAAGAUCCUUGAUUGCUAAUAUAAACAGUCAAGUAGAGUAAUCCAUUGAGGUAGAUACAUACAGCAGCACUUAAAUGCUGAUUGAAAAAUACUCUAAAAUAUGUUUUUGGCUAAGAGUACUUAUGCCAAUUAAGAAGCAUAGAGAUACAUAUCCUCAUAAUAUAAAGCUUCCCUCUUUGUUGCUGCACGAUUCUCCUCCACUUGGCAUAUCUUCUACCACCCAUGAUUUUCUUCAGUAGUACUCUCCAAUUGCAUAACAUGUGUUUCUCCGUUGCUACUACAAACUGGCAUGCCACACAAUUUAUGGAAGGUUAAAAUCCGAUGUGGCAAGAGGGAAUAUCCGAAUUAGAUUCACAUUUAGAAUUGCAAUGCCUCAUCCAAUGUUAAGACUCCACCUAUGCUUGAGUUGGACACCAAUACACGUGCUUCCAAAUUUCAGCACAAAUGCAUAUAAUAUAGCUUUUUUAGUUUAAUAAUGCCGGCCAUUGGUGAUUUGUCGUUUCUAUGAAAAAGAUUAGCAAAUUCAAAAACACCACUACCCUUAUCUUAAACAGUGACUAACCUCAUCACAUCAUA